UAUCACGCACAUUUUUCAUUCCACGUGUGCCGAAUGUGUUGUGCAAAAAAGUGACAGCCAUAUUGAAAAUCGUGGAUGUAGCUGUGACUGGAGAUUUCCCCCUCAAUUAUUGCCGGUAUUAUUACGGAACUUGGAUCAAACGACCAACGGAGGCAUUUACAAGCAGUAAGCAAAGGUGGUGCUUUGUUUACUUUCUUUCAGACAUCUUACAGAAAGCCGGUUGACCAGGAACCAAGUUCUGGACGCCGUGGAUCUGCAGUUUUUAAAGCGGACUAUCCGGUCGAAGAAAUCAUUGCCUUUUUAAAGUGAAAGAUUCAGUGAAAAGUGACGGUGUGGUGAAGCUGCUAAGUAGAAGCAGAUUCCCAUGAACAGCGGAUUCCUUUCAGCAGGGUGACCAACAAUAUCUGGUAAAUGGACGCAGUAAAAUACAAAGUGAUUUCAAACAAAUAAGGAAAAAAAGCCGGAAAGAAUUGUUUUGGUUAUGAAUGAACAAAAUUUGUAUUUAAUUAUAAUGAGGUCCAAUAAAACAUCGGUUUUGGUCAAGCUAAA